CUCAUGGUUUCAGAGGUUUUGGUCCAUGGUCAACUGGCUCCAAAGCUGAAAGAUCAUGGUGGAAAGUCAUGGAGGAGCAAAGCUCCUCACUUCAUGGUAGCUGUGAGGAGGGCACGGGGGAAGAGUAUCAGUGAAGGAUACUCCCUCCAAAGGUGCACCUUCUGUGACGACCUCCACCUGCACAUUCGCAUUCGAACUCCUAACAGCACAUUCAGUGGUGAAAUCACUGGAUUAAUCCCAGUCAUCUCUCCAGGACUCCAUCUUGUUACAUUGACAAGUCUACUACAGGCUGUCCUGAACUAGGAGGAUGGAAUUCGUUCCUAACGUACUAACAACUGCUCGGGUUCGGGUCGAACAUGAGUCAAAGGGAAGCACUGACUAGAGCCGAUUUCCACGCUGGACAUUCGGUCACUCCCGGCGUAGGGGUGCCUGGUAAGAUUCCUCUAGGACACGUCUACACAUCUGCUCCUUACGAGAAGUGUGUGUCUCCGUCUAAUCUUGCAUCAGCGGGCGAACUCCGGGCGCGACAGAGGACCCUGCGCUGCCUCGGACGUGGAGAGUUUACGCCGGCGCGCCCUGGUCAGCCUUCGCAGGCGGGUCCACACCUCUAGCCAGGGCCUCGGGGCAGCCUGCGCUCGGCUUUCCGCUUCUCAGCAC
rnacentral:lncRNA from 1 species